GCCAAAUCCCGUAGUUCUCCAGAGGUGGACCUUCCUAGUGGGAAUGGCCUCCACUUCCUCAAAGAUCCCGUAAUUUCAGAGUUUGGAAAGCUGCUGUUUAAUAACAGCGUGGGAGUAUGAUGUUACCUUUGCCUUUCUUGGGUACCGCUUCCUUGCCCAUUCGUGGCACAGGUUGAAUUUCCUUCAUGUAUUGGGGAAGAAUCCUGAAAGGGAGUUGGCCUGUCCUCUCCUUCCUCCUUCCUGCUGGCUGGAAUGCUGACAUGUUGCCUGGAAAUGGAGCAGACACUUUGGACCAUGGGGUGAAAGCUGGUCACUGACGAUGGUGGAGCAACAAGCUCGAAGAGACCUUGGCCCUGGUUAAACAUGGAGGUGCCAUUCCCAUCCUUAAAUUUGGAAUUUGUUUACCAAAGAGAGAGAAGU